CACAUCGAAAAAUACCCUGCAAUUUUCACAUUUUUUGAGCGUAAGCAUUCAAAUUUUGUAGUUAAGGUACCGUUAGCUCGUUUUAAAAACUGACCAAAAAUAAGGUGUCAAAAAAAAAAAAAAAAAAAAAAAAAAAAAUCGGGAAAAAAUGUAUUCUCUACAAUAUUAGGGCUAAACUUAGCUACUAAAUUGCUGAUGGGAUGUGAAUGAGUAUUCCGCAGUCGGUAACGCUCGUCUUAACGUUCUUACUUAUUUAUUUAUUUUUUUUUUUUAUAAAUUUGCAAUUUAUACUACAUUUGCAGAUUUUGCAGAACGCCUUAUUGUUGUCGUCUUCAUAUCGGGCUAUCCACGACUGGCUGCUGUAGCCAGCAAUAUCGAAAUUUUUGCCUAUAAGUCUCCUUGGGCAUUUUAUCACUCUAUUCGCAAUGAACACAAUUACAAACGAUAUCGAUAAUACAUACAAAGCACCUACACAAUUAAAUUUCAUACUCAUUUAGGCACGGUUCUUAAACAAAUAUGGGUACACAAUUUAGCAUAUUUAAUGACAAAGUUCUGUCACUAACCAGAGAACACAUAGGCUAGACAUCUAGAACAAAUUUUUUUAAUGUCGAAAAAAUGCGCUGAAGAGAUCAGACAACUUCGUAUUUGCUCGGCUCGGUCUUUUGAGACUUAAGCAGUAAAAAUAAGGCACGACAAAAUCAGUGCGCUGCGACCGCUGCCACGAAAUGCACCAUUCCCAAAUGAAGUACGGUUAUGCGCUAUUUUCCCUUACUCACUCUCUCCCUCUCUUUAUGCUCUCUCUCUAUGGUCUCUCAACCCAGUGGCGACGACCUGAAUGAGCGCAUUUGUAAUGUACAAAAUAAAAAGUGCUACUCAUACGACAGAAUCGAGCUCUUGUCAACUUCGUUUCUGUAUGCCCCUUCCCCGCUAACCAACAAACGAUUUUCGUCUUUCGUUGCGUCGCGACGAAAUCGCCGAAUUUCGUUUUGGACUUUACCGUUUUUUGCAUGGAAUGCGUGCCUUCUUUCGUUUGGUUUUUUUGUCUAUGCCUAUUCCUUUUGUGUGUUAGUGUUAAUGAGUGUAAAUACAAGUUCAAAAAUGCAUAUGUGUGAUGAUUUCUGUUUUCGUUUUACCCGCCGCGGCGCGUCACUUUUCUGCUAUUGUUGAGCCGUGCGGACGUAAAUUUAAAGGGAAGUAUCUGGUAUGUAUACAUCAUCUUACAUGUAUUUUUAAUGACAAAAAAAUUAAUAUUGUUUAAUUUACAGAUGCUAUAAAAACCGAAGGGUCCACUAAGAAGACCUAUAUAAGUACAAUAAGAAACUGCUUUCGGGUCCAGAAAGGUCGACUGGCAAAGCAGAAGUUCGAUAAUAAGGACAAACUAGAUAAUAAGACAUAGCUUUAGAUUUAGAUGUAGAUAGAUAUAAUAAAAUAGUAAUAAUACAUAGUUUAAGACUAUACAUUUAUUUAUAGAUAUUAAGAAAUAAUAAAUAAUAGAUUUUAAAAAUUAAAACAAAAAAUACUGCAUUACUCAAGCAUUUCUAUCUCUCAAUUAGUAAUCAAUUAUUUCUCCAAUUACAUUGCAUUAAGAAGUAAGCCAUUUUAUAUAGUGGGAAAAUGGGUUGCAGGUAUAUUGUGUUGUAAUGUACGCAUAUUACUAACCCAUAAGCGAUUUUGAAAAUGUAUAAGGCGUUUUCUUCAGGUUGCGGAAUUUCUACAUUGCAAUAUUUAAAAAGUAUACGCAUGGGUAAUGGAGAGCCGAAGGAAACUUCGUCACCUCAUUACUUUCUGCAUUACAAAAUUCAAUAAUUUCAUGCACCCGGGAGAAAAAGCGGCCAUUCCUUAAAAAAGUAAGGCAGCUUGUAAUCGAUCUUUUCAUGCACACAGGCGACAAGUAAUCCAUGAGUAAUGGACGAAAUAAUGGGCAUUUCCGCCACUGGGAAAUAGCAGCAGCGCACAGAAAUUGGAAAUUUUUCGCGACGAUCCCCGCUCUUUCUCUUUGAGUGAAGGGUAUACCGAACUCUUAAAAGCGUUUGCCACGCUCAUACAAAAUGUUUGUGUUCUCAUGAUUAUUUCUAGGAAAGGUAUGAAAGCGUUGAGGCGCAUAAAGAAUAUGAUUUCGCGACGGGCACGCACACACACACUUGCAGUCUCUGGAAACAUGUGUGAGCAUUUGCAUAUGUGUAUGUAUGCAUGAGAUGGGAUGAUAAUUGUUUGGCGAUUCUGUAGUUUGUCAAUUUUGUACGGUUUGAAUUGUAGAGUGACUGUCAAAUGAGCCUUUAUGACAUAAUCAAUAAAUUUGGCAAUGAAGAUCA